rnacentral:rRNA from 1 species
AUCUCAGUUCAGAUUGCAGGCUGCAACUCGCCUGCAUGAAGUCGGAAUUGCUAGUAAUCGUAGGUCAGCAUACUACGGUGAAUACGUUCCCGGGCCUUGUACACACCGCCCGUCACACCACGGAAGUUGGGGGCGCCCGAAGCCACUUAGCUAACCCUUUUGGGAAGCGAGUGUCGAAGGUGAAAUCAAUAACUGGGGUGAAGUCGUAACAAGGUAAC